AGGGAGACAGAGACCCGGAGUGGGGUGGGGGGACAGAGACCUAGAGACAGAGAAGCAACAGAGGCCCAAAGGUAGUAGGGGUACAAGACCUGCUUCAGCAGAAAUAGAAUUACGUGUGUGUGUGUGUGUGUGUGUGUGUGUGUGUGUUUGACUGGACAAUGUACAUAUUGCAGAGAGCAUAGCUGAGCCAGAAGCUUAGUCACAAGGGCCAGGGAGACAGCAUAAUGGUUCUGCAAGAGACUUUCUUUCUUUUUUGCCUCCAGGGUUACCACUGCGGCUUAGUGCCUGCACUACAAAUCGACUGCUCCUGGUGGCCAUUUUCCCCAUUUUGUUGCCCUUGUUGUUAUUGUUGGACAGGACAGAGAGAAAUGGAGAGAGGAGGGGAAGACAGAGAAGGGGAGAGAAAGACAGACACCUGCAGACCUGCUUCACCUGCAGGUGGGGAGCUGGGGGCUUGAACCGGGAUCCUUAUGCCUGUCCUUGUGCUUCAUGCCACGUGCGCGUAGCCUGCUGCGCUACUGCCUGGCCCCCCUCUGCAAAACUUUUUCAUGCUUGGGGCUCUGAGGUCCCAGGUUGAAUUUCCAGCACCAUCAUAAACCAGAGCUGAGCAGUGCUCUGGUCUAGAAGGAAAAAAAAGAAGGGCUGGCUGGGUGGUCGCACAUCUGGUUGAAUGCAUGUUACAAUGCACAAGGACCCUGGCUCUAGCCCCCAGUCCCCACCUGCGGGGGAAAGCUUUGCGAGUGGUCUCUCCGUCUCUCUCCCUCCCUAUCACUCCCUUGCCACUUGACUUCUGGCUGUCUCUAUCCAAUAAAGAAAGAUAAUAAAAAAAUAAUUUAAAAAAAAAAAGAAGAAAGAACUUAGUCAGAAGACAAUAAUACAGGCAACCUCUGAAGAUACUAGGGACAGUAACCCCGUGUCCUUUGGACUCCAGGAGGAUGAAAUAAACGUUGACUGUCCACACUGCCAGGUCCCUACAUUCACCUCAAGUGGUUGCCAGAAAACUGCACCUUGUGACGCGGCAACUCCGGGAAUAUGUAGGGAGACCACCUGGGACAGCAACAAGACAGGACUAGAAUGACUUUGGGAACCCACCAAAUCACCAGACCUCCAGACACCACAACUCUGCCCAGACCUCCAGCUCUACCCAGUUGAGAAACUUCUCUAAAGAACAAGGAAUAUCAAAGAUCACCUGAGACUGCAACAAGACGAGACCGGGACUAGUUUGGGAGCUCACCAAGUCACCGUCACAUGUCUGCUCCACCCCGCCGCCACCACCUAGGCCCUGGCAGGGGUCUGAUUACUGACUUGUCGCCAGAGGACUGCUCUGCUCAACUCUUGCUUAUGGUAGUGCUGAGGAUCGGAUCUGGAACCUCAGGGGCUUCAGGUAUGAACAUCUUUUUCUAAGUGGGGAGGUAGGGAGAGGAGGGGAGAGGGAGAGAGAGGCAGGGAAGGGGAAAGGAAGAAGACACGGGUAGCAUGGCUUCACCACGUGAAGCUCCCCCCACCCCCGCAGGUUGGGGAUAUGGGGCUUGAACCCAGGGCCUCAUGUAAUGGUAAUGUGUGUAUUCAACCAGGUGCACCACAGCCCCGACUCCCACAGUAAAACUCUUUUUGAGCAUUCCCAGAUACAAAACUGUAACUCACGUGGUCCGGGAGGUGGCACAGUGGCUAAGGAACUAGACUCUCAAGCGUGAGGUUCUGAGUUCAAUCCCCGGCAACACAUGUACCACAGUGAUGUCUGGCUCUUUCUCUCUCUCCUCCUAUCUUUCUUUUAAUAAGAUAAGUAAAAUCUUUAAAAGAAAAAAAAAAAACAAAAAACUAGAACUCACUAGAUAGAAAUCCCUAUUUUUCAGAGCGCAGGGGAGUCCUGGUCCUUGCACGGAUCAUCUUUAACUCAUAACUCCCAUCACCUCAGUGCUCAGUCAGUCAGCUCGGUCCUCGCCAUUCCCCACCACCAUGGCCCCCGGGCACCGGGGCUCGGCCCCUCACCACUGCGUCCUGAUCAGCUCUGCUGGCCCCGUCAGCAAAUGAAGCAGCAGUGCCCACAGCCGGCUCUCAGUUCUCUCCGUGUGACUGGCCCAGGACUCCCCAGACCUCAGGGCGUGUGUGCUGGGGGGGGAACACCUCCCCAGGCCCAGAGCCCCGCAGGUGCCCACC